CGUUUUCAACUCACUUCUGUACUUUCAAGCUAACUGUCAAAAGUGAGUAACUUUAUUUUAUGAAAGAGAGUAGAUUUCUACUCACACAGGAACAAAAAUAACCUUUACUCACUUUUGAGUAAAGGCUUCAAAAAAGCACUCAUUCAUAACCGUCGAAAACUUGUAAAAAAUCAGUCCGCGGCCACAGAAGUGAUCUUUUGCCGAAAACGAUUGAAAAUACAUAAGAAUAUGAAAACUUUUGGUUUUAUUUCAAGUGGAAUUCUUUUUUAAGACAUCAAGGAUCAUGUUGGAUCAUGCCGGAGGAAAUUUCUUCGUCGAUGUGCAGAAACUGCUCGGUGAUCACUUUUCUCCAAGACGACCCCAAGGACGUGCCCAAAGACGUCCGACUGGAAAACUUGUAUGAACCGCAUUUGGGAAUCCAGAGGUUGGACCUGAACUAAAAGGAGCCACACACCAACCACACACAGAAGUGUUGGAAUUCAACUGUUAGGAAUUUAUAAUUUAAACUAAUAAGUUAAACUCAUUAUGUAUUUUUCUUCUCAAUAAGUGAUAAAUAAAUGAUUUUGUUGCUG